AAAUUUUAAGUAUAAUUUUGUCAAUAUCAAACGAAUAUUCCUUUAUUUUUUCAAAUUGGCAACUUGGUAAGUAAAUUUUUACAAGGGGACAACUUUCCCAUAGGCCAGUACUUAAUUAUCAGGGAUUUGUGGUUUUCUCUCAAGUAACCAUUCACCUGGGGUAAUAAGAAAAAAGAAAUAGUUUGAAAUAAAAGUUUUGAAAAAAUAAAAUUUGAGCCAUUUUAUGUAUUGGAGUACAUGGAAGAGUAGUCUUUGCCUUGCAUCACUAUGUCAUCACAUAUGCGGCCAAUUUGAAGUCUCCAAAAGUAUAGUGGUUACCAAUAUUUACAACUUUUAAAAAUUCAUAACUUCCCUCUGAUUUAUCUGAAACUGUUCAAACUUUCAGCUAUCAAAUUUUCUGAUUUUUCUUUUUUCCUCUAAAAACAAGAUUUUAUUUAGGUUGGAUUCUCCCUUAAAUAUCUUCUAUCAAAUCUUCCUCAAAAAUCCUUGGUGAGGAAGAUUAGCCUGUUCAUACUUUGGUAUUUCUCCCAAAAUCAAGUUGUGAUGAGAUCAUGCAAUUUUUGCUGGGGCUCUCACCCUCACACACACCUUUCAGGUUACUGGAACCAUAUCCUCCUCCUGUACUUCUACUCCAUAAGGACAGUCGCUGACAAUCCAUGAUCCAAUGACACAGAAGGCCGUCUGCAUUUGAAACCAACAAAUGCUCUCCUGUAUCUUGCUUAUGGCCUAGAACUGAUAAGACCCAAACAAAAGGUUAGACACUGGAUGGAUGACGCAAACUUCAAUGAACCAAGAUAUGCCAGACCAGCAUGGAGUACCAGAAUUCAUUUUCCGGCCUGUCCUCAAAAGGAAGGAGCUUAUAAAAACUGGCGGCAGAGACUACUGACUCAAAGGCAUAAAAGGCAAUCUGCAUUGAGCAGAAGCAUAUUCCUCUAGUAAACUACAAGGAGGAAGUGACAUAGCGUCCAAGAAAUUCAACAAGGGAGAUGCCCUAGAUGAGUUCCCAGCACUGACAAUUUAGUCAGUGCUGACAUCUUUAAUGAAAUACCCCCAAGAUACCAAGUUGAGACCGAGUGGUGUCACGCCAUGGAAGAGAUGGGGCUAGAAACCACUGAUGUCAGUAACUAAGGGGAACUAUUACAGGUGGGCAUAGCCAGCUUGGAACAACCAGGGCCAAGGCAGAAUCUGCCUGGGUCAUAUCCCAGCAAUCGAAAUUGGCUGGUCGAGCUGGAGCUGGAGCUCUCACACUCAAAGCCGGAUGCGAUUUUCUCUGAUAGGGACCAAUGCUGCUCUUCCACAGUUCCACUCCUUAUUCAGACACAAUGUGUCGAAACCUGAUGCCUGGGUCCUCACAGUCUAGGUGACAAGCAGGGUCCAGGAGAGUAAUUGAUGACCUCAAAAACAGAAUACCUUCUGCAUCAUCUUCACAUGAAAUGCCAGAGAUUGCCCUGAUGGAGUAGAAGAAAAGAGAAAAAUAUUAAGCCUGGUAACCCAUAGGGGCAUGAGGGUGAUAUGUAAAAUGAAUAUGGACCAGAGGUCUAAGUCAACAGAACCGAAGGAUUUUUGUUCCGGGGGGGGGGGGGGGGCAAAGUCAAGGUAAUCGGGACAAACAUGAUCUUACACUGGUGGAUUCAUAUGGGGGUGGGGAUGCACACCCCUUUUAGAUUGAAAGAUCAAUUUACGGAUAGCUUCAGUGAAGAAAAAGACCAUUUGGGUGACAAAGCAAUAUUUAAGUGGUUGUUUUCCAUUCUAAAAUUAUGUUUCAAAAUUGCUUAAAUAGAUCUUUAAGCAUUUUCAAUCUAUGAAAUUUGUUUUUAAUGUCCUGAAUUAGAAUUAUGAUUUUUGGCUAGAUUUAGUUAUAAAAUAGAAGUAUAACUGAAAGUGAUCAACACCCAAUGCCAUUACUAUGGUUUCCCACAUGUUUAGAAAAUCAAUUUUGCAAGUCUACCCCAAGAUGAACGUAUAUGGCAACUUUCAUGUGCACUAGCAAAAAAAAUACAAAAGGGAUCCUAAAUAAGGUUUCCCGGUUUUGGACAAUAUGUGGUUACCAUAUAUGGUGAAACAAUUUUUUUUUUCUUUGGACAAAUGCAAAAAUGUGUACUGCACGUCUUUAGCUCACAACAAAUGAGUAAGCCAAAUUUCAUUAGAAAUUAUUCAAAAACUAAUAAAGUUGUUUAAACUACAAGAUUUUUCCUUAAUUUUUCUCUCUAUAUGCUGUUACCAUUGCAAUACAUUAUCCAACACACACAAAGAAGUCUUGCACAUCUUUACAUAAAGACCAGUGGGCAUGUUAAUUUUAUCAGUAUUGGUUAAAAACUGAGAUUUUUACCUAAUUUUAACAAUAUAUUUUGAGCAUGGCAACAUACUUUCUGUCACAUGCGGAAAAUAUGUCUUGCAAAUAUAAAAUCAUUCUGAUGACAGCAAAAUCUAAUGGUUUUUUUUGUAUUUAGAUACUUUUUCAAACAUGAAUCAUUUAAUCGAUGAAAAAAAAUGAAUGUCCUGAACUA